rnacentral:rRNA from 1 species
AGCGAACGCUGGCGGCAGGCCUAACACAUGCAAGUCGAACGGAUCCUUCGGGAUUAGUGGCGGACGGGUGAGUAACACGUGGGAACGUGCCUUUUGGUUCGGAACAACUCAGGGAAACUUGAGCUAAUACCGGAUGUGCCCCUCGGUGGAAAGAUUUAUCGCCAUUUGAGCGGCCCGCGUCUGAUUAGCUAGUUGGUGAGGUAAAGGCUCACCAAGGCGACGAUCAGUAGCUGGUCUGAGAGGAUGCUCAGACACAUUGGGACUGAGACACGGCCCAAACUCCUACGGGAGGCAGCAGUGGGGAAUCUUGCGCAAUGGGCGAAAGCCUGACGCAGCCACGCCGCGUGAAUGAUGAAGGUCUUAGGAUUGUAAAAUUCUUUCACCGGGGACGAUAAUGACGGUACCCGGAGAAGAAGCCCCGGCUAACUUCGUGCCAGCCGCCGCCGUAAUAC